UAUAUACAUGAUUGCAAACUAUAUUCUAAAAUAUCAGAUGUACAGAAGCAAUAAACCCAGCAGCGAAUUUAAAUUAAAACAUAAAAAUUCCACAUAGAAAUGGCUUAUGAGAAUGUGGCUUCGGCACUACCGAGAAGGAGAACAAGAAUCCAAUAUGUUCUUCUUUUAGUUAUUAAAACGACAUGACGGGUCCAAUAUCCGGCUGGAGUCUUCUACUGGCUUGCAGCAAGCAAGAGUUCUGAGCGUUUUUUUGUCCAGAAGAACUUGGCUUGAGAUAGUUUUUGGCUGUGCUCAAAGUUGAGAAACUGGGACAUGAAAGUAGGGCUGCUCAAAAGAAGGCCAAUGAGCCCAGCCUGCUGCCUUAGGCAAUGCUGUCCCAGUCAGAGCCCUACUCAAGAAUUUAUGUCAUCAGAAGCUUUGCUCCUGCUACAGGAUGCUUUCACGGAGUUCAGUGUCCUCAUCCAAAAGCUUACCAAUCUUAUUGUAAAACUCAUCCAUUAAAAAAAAAAAAAAAAAAAGCCUAGAGAGUAUUUUAAGGAAAACACGUGUACCUACCCAGCUUUAAUGAAGGUAAACAUUACACUUUACUUGUGUGUCUUCCUCUCCCUUGCUUCCCAGAAAUAACCAUUUUACUAAAUCUUGAGUUUAUUAGGCCAACUCAAGUAGUUAUUUUCUGUAUGUAUCUAUACACACACACUCACACAUACAUAAUUCUACAUUUUUAUUUUGCUCAGUAUCAUGCUUUUAAGAUUUAUCUUAACCCAACACAGUAUUCCAUUGUAUGGAUGCGGCAAUAGUAUUUAUUCAUUCUCCAAUUGAUGAAUAUGAUUUUAAGAUUCUUCUGUAAUAGACACAAUAUUCCAGUGAACAUAUUUGUGAAUCUCUUUUUUUUUUUUUUUUGAGAAAGAGAGAGAGAGAGAGAGCAUGCGUGCGUGCAGGAGCGGGCAGGAGAGGGAGGAGAGAGAGACUCUUAAGCAGGUUCCACACCCAGCAGGCCCCAUGCCGGGCUUCACCUCACAAUCCCGAGAUUAUGACCUGAGCCCAAAUCAAGAAUCAGAGGCACAGCUGACUGAGCCCCCAGGCGGCCCUGUAUCUCUUUGAGCAUAUUUGCAAUAGUUCCUUUAGUCCUCAGAAGUAGAAUUGCUCAUUCAAGGAGUGCAAGUACAUGUGAUACGUAGAAUCAUAGUCCCCACGAAGAUGUCCUUGGAACCUGUGAAUAGAUCACCUUACAUGGCAAAGGGAUUUUGUACUGUGAUUAAGGUUAAGGAUCUUCAGAAGGGGAGAGUAUUUCGGACAACGCAGGAGGACCCAAUUGAAUCACACAAGUCCUUGAAAUUGGAGGAGACGGAAUAAAUACCACCUGAAAGGAAUUCAAUCACCUGUUGCUGGUUUUGUAGAUAGAGGAAGGGGAUUGUGAACCAGGAAAUAGAUGGCUUCUAGAGGGUAGAAAAAGGGAAAAUGGAUCUGUCCUAGAGCCUCCAGAAAGGAAUGCAGCCCUGCAGACAGAUGCUUUGAUGCUAGCCCAGUGAGAUCCAUGACAGAUGUCUGACCUCCAGAACUGUAAGCUAACACAUUUUCAUUGUUUUAAGUCAUGAAGCUUGUGGUUAUUUGUUAUGACUGCAAAGAACACUAAUUUAGCAUAUUACAUUUUAUCAAUUAUUGCUAUAUUUCCCUCCACAGCAGCUAUUCUGUGCUCAUUAUCAAUUUAUAAUAAUUUCUAGAUCCCUUCAUAAGCCUAGAGGAUAGCCAGACUUAAAUUUUUGUCUCCUGAGUUUGAAAAGCUACACAGCUCUAAUUUGAACAAGGUUUUAACUUUCAUUUCCCUAAUUACUUGUGGGGUUGAGGAUUUUAUUCUAUUUUAUUGGCUAUUUGGACGUGUCUUCUCUUGAAUAUCCUGCUUGUGUAUAUUGCCCUUUAUUCAUAUCGGGCUGUUAUUCUUACUUAUUUGUGAUCAUGUACACAUUCUGAAUACAAAAAUCUCUAUUUGUGAUACUCCAUGCAAAUAUAAAUUCCCACCUUGCAGCUUCCUUUAACUUUGUGGUAUUUUCUUAAAUAGAAAGUUGUGAUUGUAAUAUCAAUAAAUGUAACACAGUUUUUACUUAGGGAGCUUUGCAUUUCAGGUCUUAUACCUUCUUCCAAACCUCAAGAUCAUAAACAUAUCCUCUAUUUUCUUUAGAAGCUUUAAACUUUUGCUUUUCAUAUUUAAAGCUUUCAAAUAUUUGAAAUUGUUUUUUUAUUUGAGUACCCAGUUGUUCUAAUACUAUUUAUGAAAAAUCCAUUAUUUUCUUAGUGAUUUAUAAUGCCGCUUCUCUCUCAUACUUCAAUUUAUGUAUGAACCAAAUUCAGGCUCUCUUUUCUGACCCCUGGUCUAUGCUUAUUUCAGUUUCUGCUCUACACUUUCACUAGCUUUAUUGCUAUAUAUUUACUGAGGUUAUUUUUUUUUUUUGCCAUUGAUCUACUCAUUGAUGAUUAUUCAUAUGUAGGGAUGCUAUUGAUUUUAUAUAUUGAUCUAUCUGGCAAACUUGCUAAAUAUUCUCUUUUAGUCUCAAUCAUUUGUCUAUAAAUUUUCUUGGAUUUUAUAACUAGUAUUUUCUCAAUAAAGAUAAUUUUGCUAGUUUUUGUACUUCUUAUAUGUCUUUAUUUAUUGUCUGCUUUGAUUUUGCAAUGCAAUGUUUGUUAGAGGAAGUGAUAGAAGAC
rnacentral:lncRNA from 1 species